CCAAUAUUAAGAUACCCACUAGAGGGCUUACCAUUAUUCCUCUAUUUGUUAGUGAGAUAUAUAUCAAUGUGCUUUACACUCAUCCAAGAGAAGGAUUAUAGUGAACAACCGAGAUAUUUUCACCAAAGUGUUCAAUGGCGUGGAGUUGAGAUAUUAUAAGAUAUAGAGGUUAAGGUUUUCAAUUUUGAUAAUGACAAGAAAGAUGAGACCCUACUUUCAGGGGCAUAGGGUGAUGGUAAAGAU
rnacentral:lncRNA from 1 species